AGGCCAUGAGCUAGACAUUGUUUAAAUAGACUAUUAAACCACUCCCAAGCUUCACAAAGGGGCUCAUCAACUCCUUGAGUGAAAGUAGCAAUCACUGGCUU
rfam:Glycine max cultivar Williams 82 chromosome 1, whole genome shotgun sequence.